rnacentral:misc_RNA from 1 species
UCCCCGUUGCCGGGGCAGUCUGAUUAGAAAAAUACAACUAAUCACAAGGGUUGCGCUCGUUGAUGGACUUAACCAAACAUCUCACGACACGAGCUGACGACGGCCAUGCAACACCUGUCACCGAGCUCAAUAAAGCACUCUCUGCUUUCACAGAAAUUCUCGGGAUGUCAAACCCUGGUAAGGUUCUUCGGUUAUCAUCGAAUUAAAGAACAUGCUCCACCGCUUGUGCGGGUCCCCGUCAAUUCCUUUAUGUUUUAGUCUUGCGACCGUACUCCACAGGCGGGAUACUUAACGCGUUAGCUUCGCUACUGAAGGGGUCGAUACCUCCAACAGCUAGUAUCCAUCGUUUACGGCGUGGACUAC